rnacentral:rRNA from 1 species
UACAGAGGGGGCAAGCGUUGUUCGGAAUUACUGGGCGUAAAGGGCGCGUAGGCGGCCUGCUAAGUCGAACGUGAAAUCCCUGGGCUCAACCCAGGAACUGCGUCCGAUACUGGUUGGCUUGAAUCCGGGAGAGGGAUGUGGAAUUCCGGGUGUAGUGGUGAAAUGCGUAGAUAUCUGGAGGAACACCGGUGGCGAAGGCGGCAUCCUGGACCGGUAUUGACGCUGAGGCGCGAAAGCCAGGGGAGCAAACGGG